GAUGCAACGCGAAGAACCUUACCUACUCUUGACAUCCAGAGAACUUUCCAGAGAUGGAUUGGUGCCUUCGGGAACUCUGAGACAGGUGCUGCAUGGCUGUCGUCAGCUCGUGUUGUGAAAUGUUGGGUUAAGUCCCGCAACGAGCGCAACCCUUAUCCUUGUUUGCCAGCGAGUAAUGUCGGGAACUCCAGGGAGACUGCCGGUGAUAAACCGGAGGAAGGUGGGGACGACGUCAAGUCAUCAUGGCCCUUACGAGUAGGGCUACACACGUGCUACAAUGGCGCAUACAGAGGGCAGCAAGCUAGCGAUAGUGAGCGAAUCCCAAAAAGUGCGUCGUAGUCCGGAUUGGAGUCUGCAACUCGACUCCAUGAAGUCGGAAUCGCUAGUAAUCG
rnacentral:rRNA from 1 species